rnacentral:lncRNA from 1 species
UCUCAUAAAAUUAAAAUCAAAUAACGAAACUUUGUCCAGCAACAUUUAUAAGCAAUAUGAGAUUUUGAACCACACAGUUUCCAUUCAACACAAAUAUUCUUUUUACAACGAAUAAUUUUAAAUGCAAAAACACCAGUUGCAGCCUUAGUUUUUUUUACAUGUAUAUGAAUAUGAUUAUGAAAGACAGUAGGGUCACCAGGUGUGAAGUCCAUGUCAUCUGAAAUAAAUAGUUCGUUCUCAUGUUGUACUGUUAUACAACUGUC